GACGAAGGAUCCAAGCGUUAUCCGGAUUCAUUGGGUUUAAAGGGUGCGUAGGCGGGUUUAUAAGUCAGUGGUGAAAGCCGAUCGCUUAACGAUCGAACUGCCAUUGAUACUGUAGACCUAGAGUAUAGAUGAUGUUGGCGGAAUAUGACAUGUAGCGGUGAAAUGCAUAGAUAUGUCAUAGAACACCGAUUGCGAAGGCAGCUGACAAAACUAUAACUGACGCUGAUGCACGAAAGUGCGGGGAUCAAGCAGG
rnacentral:rRNA from 1 species